rnacentral:rRNA from 1 species
AACGAGGAAGGGGAGCAAUCCCUGAGUACAGUGGCGCACGGGUGAGUAACACGUGGAUCAUCUACCUCUUUGUGGGGGAUAACUCUGGGAAACCGGAGCUAAUACCGCAUAAGCUCGAGAGAGGAAAGCAGCAAUGCGCAGAGAGAGGAGUCCGCGGCCGAUUAUGUUAGUUGGCAGGGUAAAAGCCUACCAAGACUACGAUCGGUAGCCGGCCUGAGAGGGCACACGGCCACACUGGCACUGAAACACGGGCCAGACUCCUACGGGAGGCAGCAGUGGGGAAUCUUGCACAAUGGGGGAAACCCUGAUGCAGCGACGCCGCGUGAGCGAUGAAGCCCUUCGGGGUGUAAAGCUCUUUCGGCAGGGAAGAUGAUGACGGUACCUGCAGAAGCAGCUGCGGCUAACUACGUGCCAGCAGCCGCGGUAAUACGUAGGCAGCAAGCGUUGUUCGGAGUUACUGGGCGUAAAGGGUGUGUAGGCGGUCCUCUAAGUUUGGUGUGAAAUCUCCCGGCUCAACUGGGAGGGUGCGCCGAAAACUGGAGGGCUAGAGUGCGGGAUGGGAAAGUGGAAUUCCUGGUGUAGCGGUGAAAUGCGUAGAUAUCAGGAGGAACACCUGUGGGUGUAGACGGCUUUCUGGACCGCAACUGACGCUGAGACACGAAAGCGUGGGUAGCAAGCAGGAUUAGAUACCCUGGUAGUCCACGCCCUAAACGAUGCAUAUUUUGGUGUGGGUCAUUCAUUUGAUCCGUGCCGGAGCUAACGCG